GACGAACCGAGCGAACGUUAUUCGGAAUCACUGGGCUUAAAGCGCGUGUAGGCGGGACGGCACGUCGGUCGCUGAAAUCCCCCGGCUCAACCGGGGAACGGGCGCCGAUACGACCGCCCUGGAGGGGCGUAGGGGGACCUGGAACUUCCGGUGGAGCGGUGAAAUGCGUUGAGAUCGGAAGGAACGCCCGUGGCGAAAGCGAGGUCCUGGACGCCUACUGACGCUGAGACGCGAAAGCCAGGGGAGCGAACGGG
rnacentral:rRNA from 1 species